UAUGGCCUGCUGCCUGUCUCUCACCACAUUUGGAUUAAAAAGUGGGUCCCGGAUGUGAUCGGAGCUAAAAGUCUGCCGUGGUGUAUAGUAAACAUCUAAAGUACCGUUCAGCUGGUGAUACUGCGGAUCAUGUGUUGAAGGUCUCGUCAUGGGUGCGUCUGGAUCAAGAUAAUGCUUCAAUUCAUGAUUUAAAGGAAAGAAAAAGCAAGCUGGUUUGGGGUUGUUAUGGCAUAAAUGAAAGUCCACACUCUGGUUACAUGCUGUACAGAUUACUGCAAUGUGCUCCUCGUGGGGUUGCCUUUGAAGACUGUUCGGAAGCUCCAAUUGGUCCAACAGAUGGCAGCCAGAUUGCUUACCGGAGCAGGGCACAGGGAGCACACAACUCCCCUGUUAAACCAACUCCACUGACUGCCAGUCUGCUACUGAGCACAAUUUAAAGUACUGGCUUUAGCCUAUAAAGCCCGAAAAGGUUCCGACUCAGCUUACCUGUGUGAACAUAUCUCCCUCUAUGAAUUACCUAGAAGGUUAAGAUAGUCUGGGGAGGCCCUGCUCUCAGUCCCACCUUCCUCGCAGCCGUGGUAGGGAUGAGAGACAUGACCUCCUCAGUUGUGGCCCUCGUCUGUGGAACUCCGUCCCUAACAAAAUUAGAUCAGCGCCCUCCCUUUUGGUCUUCAAAAAAAAAAGUCAUGGAUGUGAGACCAAGCCUUUGGGCAGUAAGCAGUGCAAGAAACUAACAGGAUCAUGUGCAAUUGGCAUUUGGAAAGGCCUCUGACUUCACUUUCUGGAUUUUAAUGUUUAUAUUAAUAUGUUUUUAAUUCCGUGCUUUAAAUGUCUAGAUGUUGUUUGUUUUUUAUUUAAUAUGGUUUAAUACUUUAAUUAAUAGUUAUAUGUUAUUGCUGUUCUUAUGCUAGGUUUUUAGAUGUUUGUUAGGCAUUGAAUUUUUAACAUGAAUAUGUUGGAAACCACUUUGAGUCCC